GGGAAGCAAGCCAGUAAGUAACAUCCCUCCACGGCCUCUGCAUCAGCUUCUGCUUCCUGACCUGCUUGAGUUCCAGUCCUGACAUCCUUUGGUGAUCAACAGCAACGUGGAAAGGGCAUGCAGGAUACAAGAAGAGCAAUGGAAGUCCAGAAAGCUCCAGAAAAACCACUGUGUCGGGUGAUGUGCAGCAGGUUUGGUUUUCCUGUAUGUCGCUCCUGAAUAGGCUGCGCAUGAAGCUAUAAAGUCUAAAUUACAUGAGACUCCAGGAUAUUGGAGAUGCCAGAACUGUGUGGCAUCUACUGAGGGAAGCUGCUGGUCUCAAGUGGAGAGAAGAUAUAGCUAUGACACAUCAAUAGAUCUGGAAGGGCAGUGCCACCUAAGCCUGUUAGAGUCCCAUUGAUGCCAUCAUGAGCCCCAGGUCCUGGACAUGAAGCUAUAGGAUUUAGCAUUUGUCCUGCAGAGUUUUAACUCUGCUUUUUCCAACCUGUGUUGUUACCUUCCUGUUCCUUCUCUCAAAAUGAGAAUGUUUACUCUGUGACAUUAUAUAUUGGAAGUAUGAUAACUUUUAUUGUUUUACUUAAUGGGCUUACAUCUAAAAAUUUGCUUGAGUUUCUUAGAAGACUUCAAACUUUCAACAUUAUUGGAAUUGCAAGACUAUGAGGAUUUUCAAGUUAGACUGCAUAUGUUUUGUGUUAUAAGAUGGCCAUGAACAUAUGGAGCCGAAAGCACAAUGUGCUGCUGUGAAUGUGAAAUAACCCUCACAGGUUCAUGUGUUUGAACCUUCAGUGGGUGGAACCUGAAGGAACUGAGACAUUGUGAGGAAGCCUGCUCUAUUUCCUGUAGCUCAGAUGAGUGUAAGCUCCCACCUUCCACCUGCUCCUGUGCCUUUCUUGCCAUGAUAGACUGUAUCCCCUCAAACUGUGAGCCAAAAAUAAACCAUUUCC
rnacentral:lncRNA from 1 species